GACGAACGCUGGCGGCGUGCUUAACACAUGCAAGUCGAACGAUGAAAGCCGGAGCUUGCUCUGGCUGGAUUAGUGGCGAACAGGUGAGUAGCACGUGAGCAAUCUGCCCUUGACUCUGGGAUAACUCCGAGAAAUCGGUGCUAAUACCGGAUAUGACCCCUGGCGGCAUCGCUGGGGGUGGAAAGUUUUUCGGUCAAGGAUGAGCUCGCGGCCUAUCAGCUAGUUGGGGAGGUAAUGGCUCACCAAGGCGACGACGGGUAGCCGGCCUGAGAGGGUGACCGGCCACACUGGGACUGAGACACGGCCCAGACUCCUACGGGAGGCAGCAGUGGGGAAUAUUGCACAAUGGGCGCAAGCCUGAUGCAGCAACGCCGCGUGGGGGAUGACGGCCUUCGGGUUGUAAACCUCUUUUAGCAGGGAAGAAGCGAAAGUGACGGUACCUGCAGAAAAAGCACCGGCUAACUACGUGCCAGCCGCCGCCGUAA
rnacentral:rRNA from 1 species